AGCUUUGCGCAGUGGCAGUAUCAUAGCCAAUGAGGUUUAUCCGAGGUGCGAUUAUUGCUAAUUGAAAACUUUUCCCAAUACUCCACCAUGAAGACUUGAAAUAUAAUCGGCUUUAGCAAUUUCUGAGUCUCUAUGGAGA
rnacentral:snRNA from 1 species